AUGCUAAUUGAAUCUUGCAUAUGAUAGAUAUUGGAGUUUGAUGAGUUUUUCAUAACCUCCAUCUUGUCGGGACUCAUGAUAGAGAAACUGAAUCAUAUGAUAACUCCACCUAGAGAUUCUACUUAUUCUGUUCUAUUGGAUUGCCAUCACAUACAGCUAGACAUCACUGAUGGAUUGUGAUAACUCACUAGGAUCAUUUUAGAUUGAUGAUCCUUGAUAGGUGUGAGUUGAAAUUAUUUCAAUCCAUUGAAAGGUGUUUCGAUAAUACUAUGAUGGAGAUCAUGGUAUAUCUCACUACCAGAUAGAAGAGAACCUAUGAGUCACACACAAUAAGAGUUUGAUUUAAUCAAA
rnacentral:lncRNA from 1 species